rnacentral:lncRNA from 1 species
GCUUGACUGAGCUGUGGCUGAGCAUAUGAGGCUCAUGUGACAGGAGUUGCUGCAUGCAUCUGUUCCAAGUAAUGCUUGGGGAAGUUGUCAUCAAGACCCACCCGGUGGCAGAAAUUCAUGGGUGGGGACUACAUCGGGCCUUUCCAAAAACACAAAGACUUUUGUUGAGUGUUCUCAGAAUGAAGAGAAGAGAAAGACGACUUUCACAGGCUUGGACAGAGAAAGAGAUGAGAGAGGAGAAAUGUUGCAACAGUCCUCAAACACUUAGUACCUCAGUGCACUGUAGAAGACUUCUCACCACUACAGUCCAUACCAGGAGGCCUAGAGGUGAGGUGUCACAAAGGUCUCUGGGGGCGACGAGCAAUCCUCACAACGCAGCAGAACACACUCCCAUGACCUCAGGUCACUGGGCAUUAAAAAUCCAGAUGACUUCAUUUGCUGGUGGACAACAUCCUGAGCACAUGGAUUUGAAAGUCCAGGUGAUAGCCUUUCGUUCCUCAUUGCUUUUUUUCUUAAAAAAAAAAAACAAAAUUAGAAAUUGCAUGUGCAUGUGUGUAUGUCUAUAUGUUGGUAUAUAUACAUGGGAGGGAAGGCACUUGCAGAAUCCAGAUGAUUAUAUCAGAUCCCCCGUGCUGGAGUCACAGGCAGUUGUAAGCUGCCCUAUGUGGGUUCUGGGAAUCAAACCUGUGCCCUCUGCAAGUUUAGUUCACACUCUUAGGCACUGUGCCAUCUCCCCAGCGCUCUGUCUCCCUUCACCAUUCAGAUCUCUCCUACACCCUCUUUGGGCCCCAUCACCCAAAAGUGAGGAUGUUAUCAAGUAUGAAAAUUUGGUCUGCUCAAUACUAAUUAGAUGUUCUUCAUGAAUUAUUCCAUUUUAUCUUGUGUUCCAGCAAGACAAAUGAGAAAUGGGUGCUGAGGAGGCUAUAGAACCCCAUCAAUAGGUAGCUAACACUCUAGAUAAGCACAGAUUUAUCAAACUCCAGAGCUCUUCACACAAUCACAUAAAGGACUGGAGAAAUGCUUACUGUUUCUAAGUAAGGGAGAUUGCCGCCUGUCCACAGACACUGACUUUCAUCUGUGUUGUUUGUUUUUUUACUCUUUGCUCUUGUUGCCUCUUUUGGCUCUUUUGGAGGCCUACCACCCAGCUCCCAAAUAAAUCAUACACAGAGGCUUAUUCUUAAUUGUAAAUGCCCAGCCUUAGCUUGGCUUGUUUCUAGCCAGCUUUUUUUUUUUUUUAAUCUUAAAUUAUCCCAUCUACCAUUUGCCUCUGAGCUUUUAUCUUUCUCUAUUUCUGCAUACCUUUUCUUUCCUUCUUAUUCUGUGUCUGGCUGUGGGGUUGGGUGGCUGGCCCCUAGCAUCCUCCUCCUUCUCUCAUUCCUAGGUCUUUUUCUCCAAGAUCUCCCCUCCUAUUUAUUCUCUAUGCCCCACCUAUCCUUUCUCCUGCCUCGCUGUUGGCCAUUCAGCUCUUUAUCGGACCAUCAGGUGUUUUAGACAGGCAAAGGAUCACACAGCCUCACAGAGUUAAACAAAUGCAACAUAAAAGAAUGCAACACAUCUUUGCAUCACUAAAGCAAAUGUUCCACAGCAUAAACAAAUGUAACAGACCUUAAAAUAAUGUUCCACAACACACCUGUGAUGAAGACACACAGGUCUAAAUGUUCCCUCUCCACUUAGGAAACUUCCAAAGGGUACAAGAAGUGGAGUAAAGCAGUUUCAGCCAGUUUAUGAGAAAGCCAAAUAAACCUUCUUGAAUGACGUGCAUAGACAAAUGGUGUAUUUUCUUAGAAGGUUAAUAAAAAUGUGAGAUUUCCAACACAAGUUGUUUUGUAUAUCUGGGAUUCAAGAGUUUAUGCUUGUAAAUAUCCCUCGCCCAUUCAAAAUCCUAUCUAGAGACAAUGGUGUGUGUAUGUGGCCCAUAGAUAAGUCACAGGGACAUGGUUUGGAGUCAGGGCCACUGGGCACAAGAGGGUGUACCUUGCUAAGUCCAGAAAGCAACUGCUAAUGCCACUAACAGGCUAAAGUAGAGAACUUGUGUUCUAUUUUGAGGCAGGGUCCCACUACCUGGUUUAAGCUCCAUGGAAUUCAUGAUCCCCCUGCUUUGUGUCUUGUGUGAUGAGAAGUUAGGCCUGUACCACCAGGGCCAGCCACACACCAAGCGUUUUUAUAAACGACGAUCAAAAUUAUAAAAGAAAAUGAAAUAAGCAAAGAGGUUUCAAAUGGUGGCCCGAAGCAGUUUUUUAAUUAGUAGGUUCAAUGGACCUAAAAUGAAUCUAUCAGGUUUCUCUCAGAGUUUCUGAGCUCCGUGUCUGACCUCAGACCUCUGUAGAGCAGUAAGUGAUGCCUGAGUGAAGAUGUAGAGACCACACUUGCAGACAUCAAGGAUCUUUCUCUUUCAUCCUUAGCACUGCUUCCUCUAAGUGCACUUAGCCCUAUGACGUCUCCAUCUACUGACUGAUUACAUAAGGUUUCUUCUUUCUUUUUCUUUUUAGUUUUUACUUUUUGAAUAUAACUCAAGCAGUAUUCGGGCCUCUUCAAGUCAGUCUUUACUCACUGAGAACACUGUAAACAAGAGAGGUUUGGAGAGGCUACACUAUUUUUCUAAUAAUUGACAAAUGUGUAAAACCGUUAGUUUUAUCAUCAUAAAGAUAAUUAAAUUUUCCUGAUGUUGUUUUAACGUCAGCAUCGUGGGUGGCUGCAGCUAAAUCUACUGUGACUUCAGCCAGCAAUUGUUCUUUGCUUCUCUGGCCACAGCCUGGCAGGAAUUCUGUUCCCACCGUCACCAGCUCUGUUGCUGCUUCUAAAGAUUGCUUUGACUAAAUCUCUAUCAUGCUAUUUAUAAGUAAGACGCGAGUUUCAAAGGCUGGAGUGAAAACCUGCUAGCUCAGAGAGGCUGAGUAGCAACCACCUGACCCUCUUAUCCUUGCUGGUGUCUCCAAAAGACCCAUGCUUCUGCUUUGCCAAACUAGAAAAGGCUCACCACUCCAAAUCCCUCUCUUUCUGCUACUUCCUGUGUGUCUCUCUCUCUCCUGGAUUCUCUCUAAUGCUCUAUGGUUACUUCCUGUCAACUAGUUGCUAAUGCAAUCUCCUGACCCAAUGUUAAUUUUAUUUAAUUAGCACAAAUGCAAAUUUGGGGUUCACAGUAUUAUUGUAUAUCCCCCAACAGCCUGAGGACAAGGCAGAUUCAAAAAUUGAUAUUUUCAAGUUUCUUCUCUAAUUUCCCGUCUCCCUGGACCUGCAACCACACUUUGCCAAGGCAAAAUGAUAGAAUGUACGUGCAGAGCUAUCAACUUGUGCUAAGCACUUGUGCUUUACAUAGUUUCCAUGUAGAAUUGUAUUUUACAAUCUAAACAGACAAGCCCACAUACCCAUGCCCAUGCCCCUUUCUGUUGCAAUCCCUCUUUUGUGCUGACAUGGUUCUGCCAACAAUUGAUGAUGCACUUGUAACCUUAUGGGUUUUCUUUGCUGAUUUCCCAGAAACUGUUGGAGAUAGCAGUGUUAUUUUUCCUUUGAGCCUCCUCCCCAGAGGUCUUCCUUUGUUAGUUUGUAGGGGGUGCAUUGAGCUCUGACCUCAGCGACCCAACAGAUCAGACCUAACCGGUUAGUCAACUCCAACCACAGCAUUACACAGGUAUUAAAGUCCUCACUGGACCCUAGAUAUUUUGUCUUUUAGUACCUCUCACAGGGAAAAACAUCUACAUGCAGAAGGUAAAGCCUACUAGCUUCAAUUGAUUUGAGUUUUCUGAGCUACCUGGGGCCAAGAAGGAGGGUCAAGAAGGAAGGCCAAGCUUCAAUGGGGGAAAGGGGCUAAGGAUCAGCUAGGGUCUCUGAAAAAGUCUAAAGGUACUGCAGUCACUCAAAGAAGCAGGUCUGAGCCAAAUAAAUGGAAUGCACACACACACACACACACACAGAGAGAGAGAGAGAGAGAGAGAGAGAGAGAGAGAGAGAGAGAGAGAGACUGUGUGUGCAUAGUUAAGUAGUUGGAUACCAAUGAAGCUGGGCCAGGGGGAAGAGACAUUCACUUUUCUUCCUAGCAUGUACUUCAGUUGUUUCUGCUUUUUCUUUUUUUUAAGGUACCCCCCCACCCCCACCCCAGACUGAUGCUCAGACACCACCUUCAGGCUGAACAGUUAUCAAACAUCCCUUCUCCUUCUGACUUUAGCCUUUGCUAGAAUAAGAGUACAAUGCUUCCCAGGUGGAGAUCCAGGUACCUCUCAUGUGCAGAUCCAGGCUAAACAAGCCUGAGUACUAACAAUGAAGAUAGGCAGAGAAGAAAAUGUUCGUGUUUUCUCCCUCCUGUUUUAAUUUGCCGGUUGCUAAAGGCAAGUUAAACUGUUCAUAUCCCUGUUUUUCCCAACUGGGGACUUUGGUUAAUGUCACUGAGGUGCCCUGAAGAUCAAUCCACUCACUGGAGGCCCAUGGAAACAUAAGGAAAAUACAGGACUGCCAGUAUCUAGAGAAGCAAACCUUGAGUUCUCAUAGGCUCUCCCCUGGGGCCAUAACACAGAGUUGCUCACAUUGUGUUCUACACAAAGUCUCCCAACCAAAGAGGAAAGGUGGGGCUGCCUUCAUCUGUACUCUCACUUGCCAAGCCUGAGUCCUACUAAGAUCUGUCCAUCCAGAUGGAGGGCACUCUCUAAUACACAGACAAGCAUACACACUGGUUGUCUGUAUUUUUCUACCAGAUGUGUAGUCUUUGAGGGAGGAUCAAGACUCACCUUUCCAUCUCUUAGGACAGUGCCUGUCACAGUGAAGUUUCAUAGAAUGAAUGAAUGAACAAUGACAGAAAGAAAUGAAGAGAUACUGAGAGGGUGCACAGGGAACAAUUCCAUUUUAUCCUAAAGGUAAAUCGGCUGAGUGGUAAGUGAGACUUAGGGAUUUAUUCACAUACUGCGGAGAAGGCAAGAUUGCCAAAGCCCUAUUUUGCUAAAAGGACUAUAUCGGGGGCCAAUGAAAAGAAAGAAAACGGACUAAUAGAAUUUAGGUGGACUUGAAACUAACGUAGAAAACAGCUGCCUGAUAUCAACCACAACUUUUCGCAUCUCUUUGGAUCUAUGGGAAGAUGAGGGAGACUUGGGAUUUUAGUUUGGUUGUAAGAGUCCACUGGAAGCAAUUUCUACAGUAGAAAACAUGUAGCAGAUGAGAAGAGUAUUCACAGCAGAACCCUUAAUUUCUUCAUGAAAAAAUGGAUAUGUAGUUUUCUUUCACUUAGAAGACUGUGUAGCAGAAGCAGCAGAAGACAGCUGGUUUCUACUCUCAGUCCCUGUUUCGGAUGCCCCAACACUCUGGCUAUAAGCUGCCAUAUGGUUGCUAGAAAUCAAACCUGGGUCUUCUGGAAGAGUAGACAGUACUCUUAAUUGUUGAGCCAUUUCUCCAGCCCUGCAUCUUUUAUUCUAAUGAGGUACAUCCUGAUGGUCACCUGGAUACUUUGCAAUGGGAGAUGGUCCAGCCAUGACUAGAAGCUUGGAACUUCCAGUAGAACCCCGAUUUCUGAAAAGAAACAGUCUGGACAGAGGUACUCUGCAUCAGUGCAUGGAGCUGCUCCCAAAAGACAUGAGUUAUUAAAUAAAACCUCAGUGCCAAGCAUAGAAUAUUACGCUAGAAGCUAUUGGUCCCGGAGGCCCCAAAACAACACAAGCUAUUGCCGUUGCUCUUGGGUGCCCACCUGAACCAGAUGGCAAGAUCAUAUUGCCGAAGACACCGCACAACACACUUGGUUUGCUGGACAUAGAGAAGUUAACCUUGCACUGACCAGGAAACUCUUCACCACCUGGCUAGCUUCCACGGAGAUUGAAAAUGCUAUGUAGGUUGCUGGGGAAGAAAAGGUAGCAAUCAAUGGUCUUACCCAACACUGGAUCAUGCAUGCAGCAAAACCAACCUUCCAGAUAAGACACGCCCACUGGUGCAAUAGUGACCUGGUUUUUAUGGGAGUGUGGUGGUUUGGAUAGGAAAUAUCCUAUAUAGGCUUGGGCAUGUGAACACUUGGUCCCCAGUUUGGUGGUACAAUUGGGAGGUUUGGGAGGCAUGGCCUUGCUGGAGGAAGUAUGUCACUUGGGGCAGGCUUUGAGAGUUUGUAACUUCAUUCCACUUCCAGGCCCUUACCCCCACCUCCACCCCUCCUCUUCAUGCUUUUUGUAAAAGAUGUGAUCACUCAGCUUCCUACUUAGGCUGCCAUGCUUGCCCACCAUGAUGGACUCUUAUGCCUCUGGAACUGUAAGCCCAAACAACUCUUCUGUAAGUUGCCUUGGUCAUGUGUUUUAUCAUAGCAAAGAAAAGCAACUAAUACAGGGGGUAACCAAUGACUUUCUAAAUGGAUUUGAGGCCUACUUCACAAGAGAGAUUUCAUGUCUGGUCCUGUGAACCCGAGAAAAGCCCAUGGGCCUAAGAAGUGAACCUACCUGUAGUUUUCUAAAUGGUCAUGUUGUCAAACUGUCUUGUAAUAUUUAUGUUUACACUCACAGAUCUGUGCUACUCUCAACCUUGGCCAGAGAAGCUUCUCUUUGCAAUGGUAGUGGUCAAUGAAGACAAUCAAGACUGGUCAAAGAGCUGAGGCGCAGACCUCAACGGAGACACAAGCUUGCCCAGCAAAGCAACAUCAGUGCUGCCCAUCAGCAGCAUCUCACAGGACUGCUUUCACUUCCGACAUUUAGCCUCUGGAGUCGAGACCUGUGGACUUACUCAUCAAGAUCUGUGUACCUUAGCUAUAAGGCGGUCGGGCGCACUUUGUCAGAAAGUGCUCAGGGAGCGGAUCUGUCUAUUGGCUGUGCUUAGGAAGCCACGCCCUCAAUCUAGGGAAAUGUAAGAUCCAGUUCCUUUCUAUGUAGCAAUUUUCUUUCUAGUGCCACUUUGGAAAAGAGUUUAUUUUUAUUAAGAAAGGCAACAUUUUUCCAGGGAUGGUCAUGUAAGCUUGGAAUCCCAAAGCUUAAGAGGCAGAAGUAAGAGGAUCAGGUUCAAGGUCACCUGGGCCACAAGAGACCCAAAACCAAACAAGAAAGCAAAACUGAAAUUAGAAUCCUCAUGAUAGUGACGGAUUAUAAUACACCACAUUGCCCUGACAUGUAUUACUCAAUGCGCCAGCCACCUUGUCUCUUUGCCUUGCCUAAUAAAGGAUCUCUUUGUGUGUGGUUUGUGCUUGGAAACUGGUAUUUGGGUGUGGUCUGUGCCUAAU